rnacentral:rRNA from 1 species
GACGAACGCUGGCGGCGUGCCUAAUACAUGCAAGUAGAACGCUGAAGAGAGGAGCUUGCUCUUCUUGGAUGAGUUGCGAACGGGUGAGUAACGCGUAGGUAACCUGCCUUGUAGCGGGGGAUAACUAUUGGAAACGAUAGCUAAUACCGCAUAACAAUGGAUGACUCAUGUCAUUUAUUUGAAAGGGGCAAAUGCUCCACUACAGGAUGGACCUGCGUUGUAUUAGCUAGUAGGUGAGGUAACGGCUCACCUAGGCGACGAUACAUAGCCGACCUGAGAGGGUGAUCGGCCACACUGGGACUGAGACACGGCCCAGACUCCUACGGGAGGUAGCAGUAGGGAAUCUUCGGCAAUGGGGGCAACCCUGACCGAGCAACGCCGCGUGAGUGAAGAAGGUUUUCGGAUCGUAAAGCUCUGUUGUAAGUCAAGAACGAGUGCGAGAGUGGAAAGUUCACACUGUGACGGUAGCUUACCAGAAAGGGACGGCUAACUACGUGCCAGCCGCCGCCGUAA